UGGGGAAUUUUGGACAAUGGGCGAAAGCCUGAUCCAGCAAUGCCGCGUGUGUGAAGAAGGCCUUCGGGUUGUAAAGCACUUUUGUCCGGAAAGAAAUCCUUGGCUCUAAUACAGUCGGGGGAUGACGGUACCGGAAGAAUAAGCACCGGCUAACUACGUGCCAGCAGCCGCGGUAAUACGUAGGGUGCAAGCGUUAAUCGGAAUUACUGGGCGUAAAGCGUGCGCAGGCGGUUUGCUAAGACCGAUGUGAAAUCCCCGGGCUCAACCUGGGAACUGCAUUGGUGACUGGCAGGCUAGAGUAUGGCAGAGGGGGGUAGAAUUCCACGUGUAGCAGUGAAAUGCGUAGAGAUGUGGAGGAAUACCGAUGGCGAAGGCAGCCCCCUGGGCCAAUACUGACGCUCAUGCACGAAAGCGUGGGGAGCAAACAGGAUUAGAUACCCUGGUAGUCCACGCCCUAAACGAUGUCAACUAGUUGUUGGGAUUCAUUUCCUAGUAACGUAGCUAACGCGUGAAGUUGACCGCCUGGGGAGUACGGUCGCAAGAUUAAAACUCAAAGGAAUUGACGGGGUCAUAGCUGUUUCCU
rnacentral:rRNA from 1 species